rnacentral:lncRNA from 13 species
UGACAGGGCUGAAGGUGAGCAUUGGCUUUUUUUGAUAGAGAUCAUGGAGCCUGUAAGAUUAGUGAAGGUGCUGGAGGCAAAAUGCAAAGCUGAAAAAGCGGGAAAAAGUUUCUGCACGCUUCCAAUCAGAUGCAAAUGUAUUUUAAUAGUAGCUGAGCUUUCGCCCAGUCAACCUUCAUCAGAGCCCAACAUAGGAAAGACUAGGAGUGAGGGGAAAAUGUAUCUGCAAGGAGGAGUUAGAGGGCCUGUCACACUGUGAUCUGAUUCACCUUGUGAUUGUCUCCAGCACCUCCCGGUGUCGCUUAUUUUCCCCAGUGUAUUUAUCCAUGUGUUUCCUGUCUCUCUGUGCCAGUUUGUCUUGUAUGUUUUUCAUGUCAACCAGAGUGUUUUCCUGUACUCCUGCUUCUAUUCUCUUUUUGCUAGUCCUCCCGGUUUUGACCCUUGCCUGUUUUCUGGACUCUGUACCUGCGUGCCUGACCGUUCUGCCUGCCUCCUGCUCUGUACCUCCUGGACUCUGGUUUUAACCUUUUGCCUGUCCUCGACCAUUCUCUCGCCUACCCCUUUUGGAUUGUUUAGUAAAUAUCAAAGAUAUCUGCCUCCCGUGUCUGCAUCUGGGUCUCGCCUUGUGCCUUUAUAAGGCCAACCUAUUGCAAUGAAAUACUUUCUGUGACAGACAAUACCGUACAAAAACCCAAAGUGACGGUCUACUCAGAGUCCAACCCUGAGUCGAAGGUGAACACCCUGCUAUGUCUGGCUGGAGACAUGUUUCCAGACUUGGUCAAGAUCUCAUGGAAGCUGGAGGAUGAAAACGGCAAAGCAGUCGAGGUGCCUAAAGCAGAGGGAGAACAGCUGGAGCAGAGGGAGGAAGGACGGACGACCAGUAUGAUCAUCAUUGAUAAUGAGAAGAUUUACAGAAACAAAUACAUCUGUUCUGUGGAGCAUGAAGGGGGCCCUCAAGAUGUUUUCAUGCUAAAAGAUAAACCAACUGAAGCUCCGCGAACCACCGUGGCUGCACCAACCUGUCUGUUCAGAAAUGACACCAAGCAGUCACAGACUCUACAUCUUGCCGACGAAUCCUUCCAGUCAACAUUUAGUCUGAACCUGGCCUCUCUGGUUUAUACAGUGAUGAUAGGGAAGAGCAUGGUGUACUGCUGUGGGCUCUCUAUCCUGCUGCACCACAGGAGCUUGGGAAGAGGACCCAGCACCUGUAGACACAUUCAUUGAAAGGAGACCACCCAUGUAUGGAUAGAAUUGUAGUGGGCGGUAAACAACAUGGACUUUACAUCCCAUUGAGGUCUAACAUUUCAUUUGUAUUGCUUUUAUUUUUCCUGCUUUAUUUUUUAGAUGCUACAAUAUUGUGAGCCAUAGUUUUCCAUGUCUUCUAAUAGCUUCAACUGCCAAAUAUGACAAUUGCAGCACAUUUAAUUUUGUAUAUGGAGUAAUGUUACCAUCCUUAUGUGGGAGCUACCCACUGCAGACACAUGAAUAAAGGUUUUCUGGAAAAUAAGCAGAGCAAAUCUUGAAUGUAAAUCAAUUAUGAUUUUAAUUUAGAUUUGGUAAAGUUGCCCUGCAAUAUGUCAGAGGUAGGCCUAAAUUAUACUCACAACUUGUAUUUAAUUUAUACAAAACAUUUACCUAAAUAUGUAGGCCCAUGAGUUCUAAAUCAUUAUCCAAUAUAAUAUGUUGUAACUUGUCUUGUAUUGAAGUGUAAUUUUUCUCAAGAAAUUAGUUUUUCUAACAUAGUAUUUCACAUCUUAAUUAAUGAAUAGGNNNNNNNNNNNNNNNNNNNNNNNNNNNNNNNNNNNNNNNNNNNNNNNNNNNNNNNNNNNNNNNNNNNNNNNNNNNCCCCCCCCCCCCCUAUAAGAUCAUCUAUUCAAAUUUGUGAAUGUUAUUUGAUUGGAUCUCAUCAGAAGUGAAACAAUAAAAUUGUAAGAUCCCCUAUUCUCUGUUUUCAACUUGUUUGCUUCAAUGUGCAUGUACCAACACAGAUGUUGGGCCUAGACUCAAUAGUGGUGGGAAAAUGUGGUUAAUGUAUAUUUGGUUUUCUGAAGAAAUGUGAAACGGUAGUUACUGGAAACAAGAUAUAGCUAGCUGCAUAACCACAGCUUGAGUGUGUGAAGAGAUAGUUAUGCAAAGCUGCUGGAUGGUUCAUUUUUUUAUCUUGGUCCGUUUUCAGCUCCAUGUGUGGUUUCGGCUCCUGCCAUCAAAUUGAAGAAUAUGACAGCGAUGGGCAGACGAGUCCAUAAUGGUAGCUUAUGGUUACUGCAUUAGUAGAAUUAUAGCCCUAUGACAAAACAAGCUCUUACUUCAGUCUGUGUACUUUUUUUUUUNNNNNNNNNNCCCCCCCCCCCCUAUAAGAUCAUCUAUUCAAAUUUGUGAAUGUUAUUUGAUUGGAUCUCAUCAGAAGUGAAACAAUAAAAUUGUAAGAUCCCCUAUUCUCUGUUUUCAACUUGUUUGCUUCAAUGUGCAUGUACCAACACAGAUGUUGGGCCUAGACUCAAUAGUGGUGGGAAAAUGUGGUUAAUGUAUAUUUGGUUUUCUGAAGAAAUGUGAAACGGUAGUUACUGGAAACAAGAUAUAGCUAGCUGCAUAACCACAGCUUGAGUGUGUGAAGAGAUAGUUAUGCAAAGCUGCUGGAUGGUUCAUUUUUUUAUCUUGGUCCGUUUUCAGCUCCAUGUGUGGUUUCGGCUCCUGCCAUCAAAUUGAAGAAUAUGACAGCGAUGGGCAGACGAGUCCAUAAUGGUAGCUUAUGGUUACUGCAUUAGUAGAAUUAUAGCCCUAUGACAAAACAAGCUCUUACUUCAGUCUGUGUACUUUUUUUUUUACCUUGAAACAAUCAAAUGAAAUGAAAUCAGGGUUGAGUGUUUAGUUUGUUUUUAACACAUCUUUGGAAAGGAAACUAACAUUGUUAUCCAAAGUAGUAAAUACAAUAGACUUGUUUCCGUUAUGUUAUUACCAUUUAUUCUGUUUUAAUGUAACGCCCUAACAAAAUGUUGUCUUAAUUGCUUUAUUUUAUCUACACUUCCCAAAGAAGAACAAUAUGUGCAAGUGUUACAUUUCAUUAAAAUCUAAAGAAAUGCAAAACAGACCUUAUAACGCCUAUAAUACGAUCAAUAACAGAAAUUAAUCAUAGAAUUGUAACUUUCACAUAUACACUUUAUUGAAUUGACAACCAAUGUAAUUCAUGAUCAAAUAUGGUAGGUAAUUGUUAGGCUACUUUAUAAACACACACAAGCUUGUCACUGAAAAUGAACUUGGUGUCUAAAAAGGUAAACUUUAUUCAUUUACUGUAUUGAAUAAGAGAGUGCUCUGUUUAGUGGCUCUUCAAUAUAGAACACUAAGGCCAGGAUUAAAUCUGAUCGGGUUUUGACAGCGUGCACCUUUAAAAGGCAACCCAAAAGGUUGCUGUCUGCAACCCCACGGAAAUAAUCCCACAAUCCAAAAAUCCCCAUAACCAGUCAGUUUGAGUUAUGAGUUGCACUGAAUGCGUCUCAAUGCACCGCAUCUGUCAAUGUUGCACUUCUGCAUCUGCGGUGAAAGGUGACAGAGCUAGAGCAGUGUUUGUCAAAUCAUGAGACGUCCCGGUAAUCGGUCUUCUCACAAAAAUCGUCUGUAGCGUCCGAACGGUUUGGCCUAUACCCUAUUAUGAACGAUCUAUGGAAAGAUGACACUCUCACGAACACGAUGGUGCUCUGUGUUUUGUGGUGUCCGAACAGUUUCGGCUACAUACCCCUCUGUGGAAAGGUGAGACUCUCACAGGCCCUAUAAAGACUAUAUAUGGUCACUGUUUAGUGCCAAAAAUAAGUGGCUAAAAUGUUUCCUGAACUUUAUUACAUCUCUCAGAUAGACAUUUCAAAACAAACGUCUUUCGAUUUUAUUGGGGGGGGGGGACUACGUUGUUCCAUGUAUUGAAUCUGUAAUUCAAUGACUUUCUAUUGGCUAAUAGCAGUAAGUCCAAAAUAUUUUCUCAAUUUAUUUUGUUGAUACUUGAAGGGGUCUUAAAAUAAAAAGCUAAAACCUAAAUGAUCCUUGGUAUAACCUCCUUAACCUAGAACCCUAAGCUAUAUGGAAUUGUUUCAUCUCAUGGGGACAGCUUACAUUUAAGCAAUAAGUGGGUGUGGUAUAUGACCAAAAUACCAUGGCCAAGGGCUGCUUACGCACGACGCAUCGCGGAGUGCCUUGGCCAUAUACCACAAACCCCCGAGGUUCCCUAUUGCUAUUAUAAACUGGUUACCAACAUAAUUAGAGCAGUAAAAAUAAAUGUCUAGUCAGACCCGUGGGAUGAUAUACCACAGCUGGGCUCAAACACAGCUUCUGUAAACCACUACAGGUGGCUGUUAGAUGCCAGUGUGAACUCCAAAAUCAGUUCAUAGAAAAAGUAUUCAGUCCUGUACAACAUGGAAGACAUGUUGAAUUUGUACGUUGAUGCAAUUUGCAAAGCUAAAUGCAAAGUUUAUCAAGA